rnacentral:tRNA from 1 species
UGGCUCAGUAGAGCAUGGUGUUUGCAACGCCAGGGUUGUGGGUUUGAUUCCCAC